rnacentral:rRNA from 1 species
GGGGAAUAUUGCGCAAUGGGCGAAAGCCUGGCGCAGCGACGCCGCGUGGGUGAUGAAGGCCUUCGGGUCGUAAAGCCCUGUCAAGAGGGACGAAAUCUCACCGACCUAACACGUCGGUGACCUGACGGUACCUCUGAAGGAAGCACCGGCUAAUUUCGUGCCAGCAGCCGCGGUAAUACGGAGGGUGCAAGCGUUAUCCGGAUUUACUGGGUUUAAAGGGAGCGCAGGCGGAUUGGUAAGUCAGUGGUGAAAGCCUCAAGCUUAACUUGGGAAUUGCCGUUGAUACUAUCAGUCUUGAAUGUUGUUGAGGUUUGCGGAAUGGGUCAUGUAGCGGUGAAAUGCAUAGAUAUGACCCGGAACACCUAUUGCGAAGGCAGCAGGCUAAACAAAUAUUGACGCUGAGGCUCGAAAGCGUGGGGAUCAA